UACGUAGGGGGCUAGCGUUGUCCGGAAUCAUUGGGCGUAAAGCGCGCGUAGGCGGCCAGAUAAGUCCGGUGUGAAAGUCAAAGGCUCAACCUUUGAAUGCCGCUGGAAACUGUCUGGCUAGAGUCCGGAAGGGGCGAGUGGAACUCCUGGUGUAGCGGUGAAAUGCGCAGAUAUCAGGAAGAACACCAAUGGCGAAGGCAGCUC
rnacentral:rRNA from 1 species